UACGUAGGGUGCAAGCGUUGUUCGGAAUUAUUGGGCGUAAAGAGCUUGUAGGCGGUUUGUCGCGUCUGCUGUGAAAUUUCGGGGCUCAACCCCGAACUUGCAGUGGGUACGGGCAGGCUAGAGUGUGGUAGGGGAGACUGGAAUUCCUGGUGUAGCGGUGAAAUGCGCAGAUAUCAGGAGGAACACCGAUGGCGAAGGCAGGUCUCUGGGCCACUACUGACGCUGAGAAGCGAAAGCAUGGGGAGCGAACAGG
rnacentral:rRNA from 1 species